AGGAAGGUAGUGUAGUUAACACCUGCAUUAUUUGACGUUACCUACAGAAGAAGCACCGGCUAACUCCGUGCCAGCAGCCGCGGUAAUACGGAGGGUGCGAGCGUUAAUCGGAAUUACUGGGCGUAAAGCGCAUGCAGGCGGCCUGUUAAGUCAGAUGUAGAAAGGACCCGGGGCGUUAACCUACGGUAAGUUGCAUUUAGUAAACGUGGCGAGGCUAGAGUCUUGUAGAGGGGGGUAGGAAUUUCAGGUGUAGCGGUGAAAUGCGUAGAGAUCUGAAGGAAUACCAGUGGCGAAGGCGGCCCCCUGGACAAAGACUGACGCUCAGAUGCGAAAGCGUGGGGAGCAAACAGGAUUAGAUACCCUGGUAG
rnacentral:rRNA from 1 species